rnacentral:rRNA from 1 species
UACGGAGGGUGCAAGCGUUAAUCGGAAUUACUGGGCGUAAAGCGCACGUAGGUGGUUUUCUAAGUCAGCUGUGAAAUCCCCGGGCUCAACCUGGGACUUGCAGUUGAAACUGGAAAGCUAGAGUAGGGUAGAGGGGUGUGGAAUUCCAGGUGUAGCGGUGAAAUGCGUAGAUAUCUGGAGGAACAUCAGUGGCGAAGGCGACACCCUGGACUCAUACUGACGCUGAGGCGCGAAAGCUAGGGGAGCAAACGGG